rnacentral:rRNA from 1 species
UACGUAGGGGGCAAGCGUUGUCCGGAAUCAUUGGGCGUAAAGCGCGCGUAGGCGGCCCGGUAAGUCCGCUGUGAAAGUCCAGGGCUCAACCCUGGAAAGCCGGUGGAUACUGCCGGGCUAGAGUCCGGAAGAGGCGAGUGGAACUCCUGGUGUAGCGGUGGAAUGCGCAGAUAUCAGGAAGAACACCAACGGCGAAGGCAGCUCGCUGGGACGGUACUGACGCUGAGACGCGAAAGCGUGGGGAGCGAACAGG